AUCCACCUGACGAGUCCCAAACAGGACGAAACGCGCAUCCUGGAU
rnacentral:hammerhead_ribozyme from 1 species